UUUUUUCCAUUUGUUUAUAGAUGGGGUGUCACCAAGAAGAAUCCCACUAAUAACCCUUGCCAUUAUCUUUUUGGUAACCAUAAUUAGAUUGAUCACAUAAUGCCAACAAACGUAAUACAUUUUUCUUUACUAUUUUUCUGUACAUUAUUAGAAUUAAUUAUGUUACACUAAGAUAUUAUAUUUAUACUGUAACAGUUUAUAUGGGGUCCAUAUCUUGACUUCCCACCAAUAGAGAAUGACGAUAACUUGAUUUAGAAUG
rnacentral:lncRNA from 1 species